GCUCACUGAUAAAUUUAUUAAAGAGCUGCGGUAUAUUGACUGUACAAAGGUAGCAUAAUCAUUAGUUUUUUAAUUGAAAACUUGUAUGAAUGGUUUGACAAAAUAAAUAUUGUCUCUUUUAUUGAAAUAAAACUUAACUUUUAAGUGAAAAGGCUUAAAUUGUUCUAAGGGACGAUAAGACCCUAUAAAGCUUUAUAUUUGUAUUUUAUUUUAAAAAAUUAAAUUAAUUGUAAAUUUAAGAUAUUUUAAUUGAUUGGGGCGAUGUAUAAAUAAUUUAUUUAACUUUAUUAAGUUAUAACAUUUUAUGUAUGAAGUAAUUAAUAGAUCCUUGUUAAAGAUUAAAGUAAAGUUACUUUAGGGAUAACAGCGUUAUUUUUUUUGAGAGUUCAUAUCGAAAAAAGAGAUUGCGACCUCGAUGUUGAAUUAAAAAUUCUGCUUAGUGUAGCCGCUAAGAUAAGAAGGUCUGUUCGACCUCUAAAUUUUUACGUGAUCUG
rnacentral:rRNA from 1 species